UAUUUAAACAUUUUAUAGAUCCAAUAAAAGCUCAACUAGCCGCAACAUUCAUGCCCGCUCCACUUUUACGCACGGCUAUUUCUUUACGUUUUAGUGCAACUAUUCUAAUGUGCGCCUCCAGUAAGAAGACAUAUCCCAGAGAUAAGCAAGACAAUGUAAUGUUUGGAUGAAUAAUCAUUUCCAUUACAUUUAUUUACAAAUGUUUCCCUAUGUGUUCCCAUUACGCAUGUAGGAUAUAACUAUGCGUAAAUCCCAUUAACAUACACACACAAUCAAAGAGAACUCAUUGUUCUACACGGAUCAUGUUGGUGCAGGAUUUCAAAAUACCUGCAGCUGUAUUUUACAUGUAUAGUUAGAAAUGAGCAACAUUUUUGUGGGAUUCAUUUGAAAAUCCUGAUUGUGAACAACUUAAAUAUCUUGAUAUAAAUUGCCAUACAUGCUAACAAUUUUGUAUUGCAGUUGUACUUUCCACUUAGGCUAAAGCAAAUUAGGACAAUAAAUGCCAGGUACGUUUUUCAGUUAAUGAAUUUCUUUGAUUUGGUAAACAUGCCACAGUGCACAUUCCCUGGCUCUACGCUCUGAGGCCACCGUGGAGCUGGAUUUGGAAAGGCUGCAACCUGACUCUAAUGUGUUGUGAAUGAGAGACCUGAGCUCGGAUUAAGACCGCCGCGGCUGGCCUGGCCCCACAACCAAUGUGCACAUGGGGAUCCAAGGGGCUCCUUGUGGCACAUGUGAAACACAACCUUAAAAUAUCACACACACUAAGACGGUGCAAGCACCAACUAAACGCCCUGUGAGUGAAUCAAAACAGGAAAAGACAUGCGGCCUGUCCUAUCCACCGUCCUGCUUACAGACCAUUUUAUUUGGAUAAAUUGCAGAGGCACAAACAACUCGAGUGUCUGUGCGACCACACGCUCCGCCUCUCAGUCAAUCCAGACAAAUUCUAUGAAUUGUGCUGAAGCUUUUAAGCUGUAAUUGAGCACAGGAUGCAAAACCAAAGCCAGCUCUGUACAGGCCUGCGUUUUUAUAGCUGCCAUAGUAUUCUGCUGCGUUUUUUUCUCCCCGGCCAGACAGACACCACAAAACAGGCCAAGCGUGAAAGGAAGUCGCCACCUACACGGACUCAAAGUGAGCAGCUGAGGAUUUUAAACGACAUAGAAACGUGUGUCUGUACACAAAUAAGGUGACAGAAAUGUGGGCCGACCGCGAUGGCGACGACUGAUGCGGACCACACAGAGGCCAUGCAGGGGGAAGUGAGCAACUCCACGGUCAACGGGAGCACCUCUGACUCACCAAUGGAGACAAUGCUGGAUCAGCCUGCAGAGGGUAUCCUGGGAAACAAGGCGUCAGCAGGAGCGGGCCUGCAUGGACAAAAGGACAUAAACUAGACUUUAGUGGGGGAAUAAAUGACAUAGACAGAAAG